rnacentral:rRNA from 1 species
CUAGUUCGGAUUGUAGGCUGAAACUCGCCUACAUGAAGCUGGAAUUGCUAGUAAUCACAGGUCAGCAUACUGUGGUGAAUACGUUCCCGGGCCUUGUACACACUGCCCGUCACACCAUGAGAGUUGAGAAUACCCGAAGCCCAUGUCAAAGUGGUCGAAGGUAGGCUUGAUGAUUGGGGUGAAGUCGUAACAAGGUACC